rnacentral:rRNA from 1 species
GACGAACGCUGGCGGCGUGCCUAAUACAUGCAAGUAGAACGCAGUUGCGAACGGGUGAGUAACGCGUCGGUAACUGCCUCAUAGCGGGGGAUAACUAUUGGGAACGAUAGCUAAUACCGCAUACUGUGAGAUGGACCUGCGUUGUAUUAGCUAGUUGGUGAGGUAAAGGCUCACCAAGGCGACGAUACAUAGCCGACCUGGGAGGGGGGUCGGCCAAACUGGGAAGUAGACACGGGCCAGAAUCCUACGGGAGGCAGCAGAAGGGAAUCUUCGGCAAUGGGCGGAAGUCCUACCGGGCAACGCCGCGUGAGGUAAGAAGGUUUUCGGCUCGUAAAGCUCUGUUGUUAGAGAAGCGGUAACUAACGAGAAAGGAACGGCUAACUACGUGCCAGCCGCCGCGGUAAUAC